AAAUAACUGUUUUCUAUUUUAAUAUUUUAAAAUUUUAUUUAUGUCUGUGAUGUCAAAGCUGAAUUUUUAGCAGCUAUUACCCCAG